rnacentral:misc_RNA from 1 species
CUACCCUCAAGCCCGGCUUGUGUGUUGGGCCUCGUCCCCUAUCUAGGGGGCGGGCCCGAAAGGCAGCGGCGGCACCGCGUCCGGUCCUCGAGCGUAUGGGGCUUUGUCACCCGCUCUGUAGGCCCGGCCGGCGCCUGCCGAUCAACCCAUUUCUUUCUA